rnacentral:misc_RNA from 1 species
GAUGAAGAACGUAGUGAAAUGCGAUAAGUAAUGUGAAUUGCAGAAUUCAGUGAAUCAUCGAAUCUUUGAACGCAUCUUGCGCUCCUUGGUAUUCUGAGGAGCAUGCCUGUUUGAGUGUCAUUAAAUUCUCAACUACACUGACUUUGAAUUGGUGUGGCUUGGAUUUGGGGGGAAAAUUGUUGUGGGCUUUUUGUAUAGUCUGCUCCCCUGAAAUUGAUUAGCGGUACCUUUGUGGAACUGUCUACAGGUGUGAUAAUUAUCUACAUCUUAGACAUCUGCUGGAAUGCUGCUUUCUAAACCUUACUUGUAUUGACAAUCUUGACCUCAAAUCAGGUAGGACUACCCGCUGAACUUAAGCAUAACAAUAAGCGGAGGA